rnacentral:rRNA from 1 species
GACGAACGCUGGCGGCGUGCUUAACACAUGCAAGUCGUGCGGUAAGGCCCUUUCGGGGGUACACGAGCGGCGAACGGGUGAGUAACACGUGAGCAACCUGCCCCUCACUUUGGGAUAACUGCCGGAAACGGUGGCUAAUUCCUGCUAUGACUUCCUCACGCAUGUGGGGUGGUGGAAAGCCUUCGGGUGGGGGGGGAUGGGCUCGCGGUCUAUCAGCUUGUUGGUGGGGUGUUGGCCUACCAAGGCUUAGACGGGUAGCCGGCCUGAGAGGGUGACCGGCCACACUGGGACUGAGACACGGCCCAGACUCCUACGGGAGGCAGCAGUGGGGAAUAUUGGACAAUGGGCGGAAGCCUGAUCCAGCAACGCCGCGUGAGGGAUGACGGCCUUCGGGUUGUAAACCUCUUUCGCCUGCGACGAAGCGAGAGUGACGGUAGCAGGUAAAGAAGCACCGGCCAACUACGUG